rnacentral:rRNA from 1 species
AUUGAACGCUGGCGGAAUGCUUUACACAUGCAAGUCGGGCGGCAGCAUGGACUUCGGUCUGAUGGCGAGCGGCGAACGGGUGAGUAAUGCAUCGGAACGUACCUAGUCGUGGGGGAUAACGUAGCGAAAGUUACGCUAAUACCGCAUACGUCCUACGGGAGAAAGCAGGGGAUCGCAAGACCUUGCGCGAUUGGAGCGGCCGAUGUCUGAUUAGCUAGUUGGUGGGUAAAGGCUCACCAAGGCGACGAUCAGUAGCGGGUCUGAGAGGAUGAUCCGCCACACUGGAACUGAGACACGGUCCAGACUCCUACGGGAGGCUG